rnacentral:rRNA from 1 species
CCUACGGGAGGCAGCAGUGGGGAAUUUUCCGCAAUGGGCGAAAGCCUGACGGAGCAACGCCGCGUGGGUGAUGAAGUAUUUCGGUACGUAAAACCCUUUCAGCAGGGACGAACACAAUGACGGUACCUGCAGAAGAAGCAUCGGCUAACUACGUGCCAGCAGCCGCGGUAAUACGUAGGAUGCAAGCGUUGUCCGGAUUUAUUGGGCGUAAAGCGAACGUAGGCGGUUUCUUAAGUUUGGUCUUAAAGACUGGGGCUCAACCCCAGGAAUGGACUGAAUACUGGGAGACUAGAGGAUGUUAGAGGAAAGUGGAAUUCCAAGUGUAGCGGUGAAAUGCGUAGAUAUUUGGAGGAACACCAGUGGCGAAAGCGGCUUUCUGGGACAUUCCUGACGCUGAGGUUCGAAAGCUCGGGGAGCAAACAGGAUUAGAUACCCUGGUAGUCCGAGCCGUAAACGAUGGACACUAGGUGUCGGGGGUAUCGACCCCCCGGUGCCGUAGCUAACGCGUUAAGUGUCCCGCCUGGGAGUACGGUCGCAAGACUGAAACUCAAAUGAAUUGACGGCUGAGACNGCACGCGACGACGAGGGAGAG